rnacentral:lncRNA from 1 species
AAGCAUGAGAUACCUCGGCCUGGUAGAUGAGCUGGGACGAGGAUCACUAUCAGGUAACUUGAUAAUGAAUUCCUUCGAUUCAAAAGGCAGCGGCCCUGCUGUGUAAAUGCUCUUCAUACCAUCAUAGGCAGGUAUUCGUUGACCCAAGUUAGUCAGCCCAUUUAAAUUAAUCAGCUGAGAAAUAAUAUGUCUGUUGAUCUUUUUUGACGUCACCUCUGGAGUAAUUGAAACCUUAAAAAAUAAAUAAAUAAAUAAAUAAGCAAAACAAUAAACAUACUUUUAAAAUAUCAACAAAACCCCGACACCUUCGAUGUCGACGCUCACGAAUGGUGAAUCUUAAAUAAAAUCAAAAUUGACGAGAAAACAAAAAAUAAAAAUAGUCAAAACGUUUUCAAAAAUAACAAAACUAAAAUUAAAAGUAGACUUACAUCAUAGUGAUGAAUGUCUCUCUCGGCAAGUUGCACCAUAAAGUGGUUUGCUCUGACAACACAUUUUCUGCCAACAGUUCCGAAUCCCGGCCUCACCGGAAGUCUCAUUGCCUGCGACGACGAAGGCGGAAGAGUAGCCGCCGCUGGUGCCGCCAAUGCCAGUUUCUGCUCAGUUUCUUCGACAAGAGUAGAAACUGAAGACGAAGAAGGAGAGGAUGCUGAAACAGACGGAGACGAAGGAGCCGGCGACGUCGAAGUUGAAGCGGUGUGUGGUGAGGACGGGGCUGCAUCGGUCGAAGCGGUGUGUGGUGAGGACGGGGCUGCACCGGAGCCGGAAUGCGAUCCACGACCAGCACCCCCACGUUGACCUUGACGACCUCGGCCCCGUGGUCCCGCGGCUCCGCCACCACCGCGCUGGAAAGACGGCGCCGGUGCCUGAGUCGGCUGGUCACGGCGAGAAUCCGGCCUACGACCACCGCCACCCCGUCGAGACAUCGUCGAAAAAAAUUUUAAGGAAAUAAGAGUGGUCACACAAAUAAAGCGGGAGAGCGAUUACUACAACUCUAUAUUACAAAUGUACAAUACGCCUCCAACACUCAACUAGGGACUCCCAUUUUAUAGUCAGUCACUAAGGGGGAAAGCCAUAACUCAAGGAGAAAGUAAAAGUGUCAGAGAGAAGGAGUGAGGAAAAGAGGGAGUGUAUUUAAAUAAUAAAAAGGGCGGGGUGGCUGCCUUACAGCAACUCUUGCACUGUAAAAAGAAAAGGAGGCCCAAGUGAGGUUCAAGAUUAUUUUGUGAGAAUGCCGUAGCUUACAGCAUCUGUGUAGAAAGGGAUCAAGAUUAGAGAGAGAGAGAGAGAGAGAGAUCCAAGUGAAUGCAAGACGUGCAGUGGAAGAUUCUUCUUAUUUUAUUGCUUGGCGGGAGUAUGGAGACUGCUUGGUUCUCUGACGGUUUUACCCCUGGCCUUUUAUUCUAAUGACGCCUAAAAUGUAGCACCCGCUUUUGUUGCCGUAACUGCUGCACGCUUGCUGGCGUGCUGCUUACUACUUGCUCCCGUUGGAGGGCGAAGGGAAGGUCGUUCAUUUUUAUGAGAUUUUUUAUGUCUAAGAGCAAUUCAUCAUUAAUUAUUAAUUUUCAGUUGGAAAUUGAGGUAAGAUCUUCAGCUGGGCUUUCAGCCUUUCAGGUUUCCAGCUCCAGCCACCAUGAGAACUUAAAUUACUUCUUUUUUGUAAGAGAAUUUACUAGGAGUGAACAUUCGGUUCGAUUUGACUAAAAGUUGAUUUAGUUGAUAACUAGAAUUAAAAUCAUUUUUUAUAAUUUUUUUUUUUUUUGUUAUUACAACAAAAUAUGAGUGAGUUGUCACUCGCUGCAAAUUUACCCUCCAUAGAUAUUGAAAACAGGCUAUCGGUGGCAGCUAAUAAUGGUCGCUGCUCAGUAAUAGAGGUUUAUCUUUUAAUGAUAAUUAAAAGUAAUACUAAUUUAUUAGAUAGAUAAUAAGAAAAUAGUUAAACAUGCAAUACCCUUUGCACUCUGUCAAAGAUGGGAUUAUAGUAAAAUAUAAUACAUCUUGGUACGCUUAGCAUGGGGAAUAAGACGGGAUAUAAUUAUAUAUGAUGAGAUACAUCUCAUGUUUGGUAUACUAUAGAAUUUUACUAAACUAAUUUAUAAGGAAAUGAAGUAUAUUGACAUUUAUUUAUUAAUUAUUGAAUAUUUAAAUUUUUUUUAAUUUAUAAGAGGAGAUUUAUAAGUACAAAUUUUAUAAUAUGAAUAUUCAAAUUAUUAAAUUAAAAAUACUUAAAUAUUUAUUCAAGUUGUUUAUUUAUUUAUUUGUUAUUGUUUUUUUUUUUCUUUUACACCUAAUUAGGUGCGUGACACAAUCAAUGAUUAGAUGACAUGUGGACCCUACACACCUGAUCAUUCUUAUAUAUGCAUAUAUGUACACAAAAACACAUUGGCAAUUGGGCGUUAAAAUUUAUUUGAACAUAUUAUAUUUAGCCUAUUUAAAAAUUGAGUAAUGCUACACAUCUCAAAUUUUUUAUCUUAAAAAGUUAUCCCAAAUGAUGUGUCAUUUAUUAAUUGGUUGGUGAGAUAAUACAAUUAAUUCACUUAGAUCUUGUAAAGAAUUAUCAACCACUCAAUUAAUGACACAUCAUUUGGCAUAACUUUUUGGGAUAAAAAAUUUAGGAUGUGUAGCACUACUGUUAAAAAUUUAAACCCCCUUCUAGGCUUAUAAAUUUUCCUUUUAAAUAUGUUAUAUAUUUGGUCCAUUUAUUAGUUUGUUCUAUGUGUUAUAGACUUAAGUGGUGCUCAAGUCAUGACUUAAUUGAUUGACACAAUUGUCUAUCUCACAACUUUAAAUUUCUAUAAAUAUCAAGACAAAAGUCACCGGCUUUAGCUUUUUAAAUAGUUGAGUUGGAUUUAUUUGAUCAACUAGAUUUCUUACUAUAUAUGAUAAGUUUUUUAUGGUUGCCUCAUUUAUAUUAAUUUAAGUCAUUACUUGAAAAUAACAAACAACAAUCUAUAUUUCAAACUUCAAAUUGUUAAAUUUUUUUUUUUUUUGUUUAAACCACCUGAUUUUCAAACUUCAAUAAUGGUCGCUGCUCAGUAGUAGAGACAUUGAUUUAUUAUACUGUUGUUUGACUAGUUGUUACCCAGAAUUGGAUAGGAGAGGGCUAACUUACAGUAACAGCCCUCACAUGAAUAGUGUUAAAUAGUGUUUGGUUGUGGGUCCGAUUUUAUAUUUAUUUGACUUAUUUAUUAUACAUAUAUAAAGUUUUAAACACUUAAAAUUUAUAUUUUUAUGUCAAAUUUUAUUGAAAUAAAUUUAAAACUUAUAAAAUUACCAAAAAAAUAUAAAAUAUAUACACAUAAAAUAUUAAAAAAUAUAAAAUUCGGGUACCCGGAUUAAAACCCGACCCGGACCCGGACCCGGACCCGGACCGGUUACUUCCGGGCAGGGUCCGGUCAUGGCAAUACCCGGACCCGGCCCGGGGUUUUGCCAUCUCUAGUCGGCAUGACGAUGUGAUGCAUCAUAGUUAAUCAGAUGGAGACACGUGGAUCGUACGACCAAUCAAAAUGAAUAGGAGUUUGCGCGUGGUGGAUAAUGGUACUUUUUUCGUUUUUUCUUCUUUGCUGACUGGAUUUCAGUUUCAAGAUUACCACAAAUUUAUGUGGGGGGGGUGGUUUUUCAGAAGGCCAUCGACACUUAUGGUUCAACGAAAUAAUUACUGAACUUCGUUUAUUUUCAAAAAUCAUCGUAUAAAUCUUUAUUUUUGAUAAUGAUGUCGUGAUGAAAGACUAUUUGGUCACUAUAAUCAAAUAGUAUAAGUAUUUAAUAAAGAAUUUAUAAAUAUCCGGACUUAUCUUGAUGUAUGCUGAAUCUUUCAUUUUAGUAACUUGUUAAAUUUAUUAUUAUGUUAUUAAUGGAGUACUUUUUAGGAAGAUUGUCAAUUUCCCUCCUACAGUAAUUAAUAUAUACUAUUUUUUUCCUACUGUUUUUAUAAUGGCCAAAAAUCCCCCCUGAUAGCAUAAGUUUAUAAUAUUACCCUUAUUUUCAACUACUCUUUUAUUUUCAUUUAUUAUAAAUUAAAUAAAUCACUAGAAUAGAAACUAAAUAAAAAAUUAAGCAUUAAAAACAAGAAAUAUAUGUUUUGAUAUGAGAAAAAAAUUAAUAAUAAAAUUUUUUUCUUGUACUUAUUUAUUUUGUGAAAAUUUUCUUAUAAUAAAUAUAUAAGAAAGUUAUUAUAAAAUGAUAAAAAACUUAUUAUAAGAAAAUUUGAAUGACAAAUAAAAAUUUAUUAUAAGAUAAAUAAUAAAAUAUUUUACCUAUAUUUUUUACAUUUAAUUUUAAAAUAUUACACAAUAUUUAUUAUAAGAAAAUGUUCACAAAAUAAAUAAUUACAAGAAAAAAAUUUUAUUAUUAAUUUUUUUCUCAUAUCAAAACAUAUAUUUCUUGUUUUUAAUACUUCAUUUUUUAUUUAGUUUCUAUUCAUGUAAUUUAUUUAAUUUAAAAUAAAUGUAAAUAAAAGAAUAAUUAAAAAAAAGGUAAUAUUGUAAACUUCUGUUGUCAGGGGGGUUUUUGGCCAUUAUAAAAAUAUUAAGGGGGUAAAUAGUAUAUGCUAAUUACUGUAGGGGGGAAAGUGGCAAUCUCCCUACUUUUUAUAAGGCUCAUAUUUUGAUAAAAUCCCCAACUCACCCCAAAUAAUAUAUACUUUCUUAAAUUUAAUUGUACUCGUGAUCUUUUACCGUCAAUACAAGAGUGAACUAAUGACCCAAUUGAUCGAGAUUAAAAAGUAAAAAUAAAAGUAUUAUAUAGUUAAAUUAAUUGUUUAAUCAGAACAUUUAUAAUUUGCUUUUAUCUUUCACAAAUUAUUCUGAAAAUCAAUUUGAGAGAUUUAACUUGUUUUUUAAAUGAUUUUUAGGAGAGGAAUUUCAUAAUUUUCGCAUGCUUUUUAAAGCUUUUUAGCCACGGAUCAAAUGAACAUAAAUAAAAAGAUGGAUCCUCGACCAAGGUUGAUGAAUUCAAGGUUUUCGACAAAUUUCAUAUUUAAAACUGCAAAUAAAAUGCCAACAAUACUUAGUCUAAUUAAUGACAUGAUUAACUUCAAAAAAUCAUUAAAACAAAAGAUUUUUUUUUUGUUUAAAUCACAGUUAAUGCAAAAAAUAGUCUAAUAUCACCAAGAUCAUAAUAAAACAAUAUUCACACUGACAAUAAUUUGGAUUGAAGAGAUAAUAUGAGUAUGAAUUAUCCUCCUCCAUAUGUUCAAGAAUUUGGUAUUGGAGGAAUCAGUUGUUGUUUAAUAACAAGGAGCUGGAAUGGCGGCUUGAUUGUUCGUGAUAUUAAGGCAAGGGUUGAAAAUAUCUGUUCUAACCUCUCAACCAUAGUCUAUAGAAGAAAUACAAGGAUUCAAAAAUGGAUUUGUUAGGCUCCUCCAGCAUGGCCUUAUGUGUGCUUAAAUACGGAUGGUGCAAGGAAAGGAAAUGGAUAUGCAGGUGCAGGAGGUCUGUUGCGAGACUGUCAUGCUAGGUUCAUUCAUGGCUUCGGCACAAAUCUUGGAGUGUGGUCUGUUAUAAAGGUGAACUCUAGGGUGUUUUGCAUGGAUUAAGAAUGGUAUGAGACCUUGGCUAUAGAUGUAUCCAAGUUGGAAUUGAUAACUCUAGUGUGGUGCAACUUAUAAAAGGAGGAUAAUGUUAAUGUCAAUGACCUUUUGGCUAUAAUCCAGAUGAUUCAGGAACUAAUGAGGAUGUUGAAUGUUGAUAGCAACUCCUCACUUCCCAUUUUGUCAAAUUCGUUAAAUUCCCGAUGUAUAUAUCUCCGUGACUUGGAAUGGAAUAUAGCUAGGUUCUCUUUCAAAUUUUACUUAAAAAAAUAAAAUAAGAUCUUUUUAGUUUUGAAUAAGCUAGCUGGUCCGUCAUCGUCAAUCAGUUGGCCACUGCUGCAUUGCCGGUAAUGCUUGAUAAGAAUGUUAUGUUAGAAUACCACAUAAGGUAAAGAGAAUAAUGUGAAUUUCUCCUGUUUCGUGCUUAUAUCAAAACAAAACUAUUGCCCCAUUACUUGUCCAAAAGGAUAAUCGAUUUAACCUUUAGAGACAUCACCCAACAGUAAUAAAAAGCAUGAACGAAAUAAAUAAAAACCAAAGCUCUUGCAGCAACCAACGCAUGCAUACAUUAUGUGUCACAUGGUUUAUUAUUUAGUAGGCAUGUAAUUAAGUUGCUUACGUUAUAUGCUCUCCAAUGCAAGCUUCUAAAUAGUCCUCAUGUUCAGUUCCCUCAGACGAUUAACAGCACUCAGGACAGACAAGUUCCCUCUUUCUAUUUCCUCAACAACAUCUUGGACAGUAUCUUCGACACCCAUAGCUUUCUUAAUUUGGAAUGUCCUUUUAGUAACUUGAGCCGAUCUAAGUCUUUCGCUGAGAAGAGAGUUAAUAGCUUCUUCAUCAACUGGUGCUCCAUCUCGGCCAAAAGAUGUCAGGCUCAGAGCUGCCAAUAACUGCUCCUUAACAUCAUUAACAGUAAUUUCAUCUCGACAUAAUUGCAGGAGCAUUGAAAGCACGGAAUCAUGGAGUCCCAAUUUAUCUUUAAUCGAUUGAACUGCAUCUUCCUUGGACACGGCCAUCUCACGAACUUCGAUAAGGAUGGACAUCACAACACUCCAUGUUGCAUCUUGUUCAUCGUAAGGUUCAAUAUCCAUAGCUUCUAUUAGAUAAUUAAUACAUAAAUUUGACAAAAAAAGAGAUGCAUAUCAGUACAAAAAAACUAAGAUACCAACAUGUAUAAAAGAAUUUAAUUAAUGCAUUAGUACUGGAGUUUUGGUGGUGAUGGCGGUGGUGGAGACUUGAAAUAGUACUCAUGUGGAGGUGGAGAAUACUUUGGUGAUAGCGGUGGUGGAGAUUUGUAGUAGUAAUGCUAAGAUGUAAGUGGAGACUUAUUUUGGCGAUGAUGGCGGAGACUUAGAGUUCGUUUGGGGCAGCCUUAGUGGUCGUGGUGGAGACUUUCAAUAAUACUAAUGUGGAGAAUUCUCUUGAAGUGGUGGUGGAAAUUCAUGAACUCAUUUGCAUUAGUACUGGGCCUUUAGUGGUAGUGGUGGUGGUGGUGGAAACUUGAAAUCGGACUUAUGUGGAGGUGGAAAAUACUUUGGUGGUGGUGGAGAUUUGAAGUAGUAGUGUUAAGAUGUAGGUGGAGAUUUAUUUUGGCGAUGGUGGUGGAGACUUGGAGUAGGUUUUGUGGUCGUGGUGGAGACUUUUAGUAGUACUAAUGUGGAGAAUUUUCUUGAGGUGAUGGUAGAAAUUCAUGGACUCGUUUACAUCAGUACUAGGGCUUUGGUGGUGGUGGUGGUGGUGGUGGAGACUUGAAAUAAUAUUUAUGUAGAGGUGGAUAAUACUUUGGUGGUGGUGGAGACUUGAAAUAGUAUUUAUGUAGAGGUGGAUAAUACUUUGGUGGUGGUGGUGGAGAUUUGUAUUAGUAGUGCUAAUAUGUAGGUAGAGACUUGUUUUGGCGAUGGUAGCAGAGACUCAAAGUCCGUUUGGGGCAGCUUUAAUGGUAGUGGUGGUGGUGGAGACUUGAAAUAGUACUCAUGGGGAGGUGAAGAAUACUUUAGUGGAAGCGGUGGUGGAGAUUUGUAGUAGUAAUGCUAAGAUGUAAGUGGAGACUUGUUUUGGCGAUGGUGGCGGAGACUUAGGGUUUGUUUGGGGCAGUUUUAGUGGUCGUGGUGGAGACUUUCAAUAAUACUAAUGUGGAUAAUUCUCUUGAAGUGGUGGUGGAAAUUCAUGGACUUAUUGGCAUUAGUACUGGGCCUUUAGUGGUGGUGGUGGAGACUUGGGGUCCGUUUAGGAGGUUUUGCGAUCGUGGUAGAGACUUUCAGUAGUACUAAUGUGGAGAAUUCUCUUGAGGUGGUGGUGAAAAUUCAUGGACUCGUUUGCAUUAAUACUAGGGCUUUGAUGGUGAUGGUGGUGGUGGUGGUGGUGGUGGUGGAGACUUGAAAUAGUACUUAUGUGGAGAUGGAGAAUGCUUUGGUGGUGGUGGAGAUUUGUAGUAGUAGUGCUAAGAUGUAAGUGGAGAUUCGUUUUGGCGAUGGUGGCGGAGACUUAAGGUCCAUUUAGGGAAGCUUUAGUGGUGAUAGUAGAGACUUUUAGUAGUAUUAACGUGGAGAAUUCUCUUGAGGUGGUGGUAGAAAUUCAUGGACUCGUUUGCAUUAGUGCUAUGGCUUUAGUUUGCAUUAGUACUAAGGCUUUAGUGGUGGUGGUGGUGGAGGAGAUUUGUAGUAGUACUAAUAUGGAGAAUUCUCUUGAGGUGGUGGUGGAGAUUCAUGGACUCAUUUGCAUUAGUAUUGGGGAUUUGGUGGUGGUGGUGGUGGUGGAGAUUUGUAGUAGUACUAAUGUAGAGAAUUCUCUUGAGGUGGUGGUGGAGAUUCAUGGACUCAUUUGCAUUAGUAUUGGGGAUUUGGUGGUGGUGGUGGUGGUGGAGAUUUGUAGUAGUACUAAUGUAGAGAAUUCUCUUGAGGUGGUGGUGGAGAUUCAUGGACUCAUUUGCAUUAGUAUUGGGGAUUUGGUGGUGGUGGUGGUGGUGGAGAUUUGUAGUAGUACUAAUGUAGAGAAUUCUCUUGAGGUGGUGGUGGAGAUUCAUGGACUCAUUUGCAUUAGUAUUGGGGAUUUGGUGGUGGUGGUGGUGGUGGAGAUUUGUAGUAGUACUAAUGUAGAGAAUUCUCUUGAGGUGGUGGUGGAGAUUCAUGGACUCAUUUGCAUUAGUAUUGGGGCUUUGGUGGUGGUAGUGGUGGUGGAGACUUUUAGUAUCAUUAAUGUGGAGAAUUCUCUUGAGGUGAUGGUGGAAAUUCAUGGACUCGUUUGCAUUAGUGCUACGACUUUGGUUUGCAUUAGCACUAGGGCUUUAGUCGUGGUGGUGGUGGAGAUUUGUAAUAGUACUAAUGUAGAGAAUUCUCUUGAGGUGGUGGUGGAGAUUCAUGGACUCAUUUGCAUUAGUAUUGGGGCUUUGGUAGUGGUGGUGGUGGAGAUUUGUAGUAGUACUAAUGUGGAGAAUUCUCUUGAGGUGGUGGUGGAAAUUCAUGGACUCGUUUGCAUUAGUGCUAUGGCUUUAGUUUGCAUUAGUACUAAGGCUUUAGUGGUGGUGGUGGUGGAGGAGAUUUGUAGUAGUACUAAUAUGGAGAAUUCUCUUGAGGUGGUGGUGGAGAUUCAUGGACUCAUUUGCAUUAGUAUUGGGGCUUUGGUAGUGGUGGUGGUGGAGAUUUGUAGUAGUACUAAUGUGGAGAAUUCUCUUGAGGUGGUGGUGGAAAUUCAUGGACUCGUUUGCAUUAAUGCUAGGGUUUUGGUUUGCAUUAGUACUAAGGCUUUAGUGGUGGUGGUGGUGGAGGAGAUUUGUAGUAGUACUAAUAUGGAGAAUUCUCUUGAGGUGGUGGUGGAGAUUCAUGGACUCAUUUGCAUUAGUAUUGGGGCUUUGGUGGUGGUGAUGGAGACUUGAAAUAGUACUCAUAUUGAGGUGGAGAAUACUUUGGUGGUGGUGGAGACUUUUAGUAGUACUAAUGUAGAGAAUUCUCUUGAGGUGGUGGUGGAAAUUCAUGGACUCGUUUGCAUUAGUGCUAGGACUUUGGUUUGCAUUAGUACUAGGGCUUUAGUCGUGGUGGUGGUGGAGAUUUGUAGUAGUACUAAUGUAGAGAAUUCUUUUGAGGUGGUGGUAGAGAUUCAUAGACUCAUUUGCAUUAGUAUUGGGGAUUUGGUGGUGGUGGUGGAGAUUUGUAGUAGUACUAAUGUAGAGAAUUCUUUUGAGGUGGUGGUAGAGAUUCAUAGACUCGUUUGCAUUAGUACUAGGGCUUUAGUGGUGGUGGUGGAGAUUUGUAGUAGUACUAAUGUGGAGAAUUCUCUUGAGGUUGUGGUGGAAAUUCAUGAACUCGUUUGCAUUAGUGCUAGGGCUUUAGUUUGCAUUAGUACUAGGGCUUUAGUAGUGGUGGUGGUGGAGAUUUGUAGUAGUACUAAUGUGGAGAAUUCUCUUGAGGUGGUGGUGGAAAUUUAUGGACUCGUUUGCAUUAGUGCUAGAGCUUUAUGGUGGUGGAGAUUUAUAGUAGUACUAAUGUGUAGAAUUCUCUUGAGGUGGUGGUGGAAAUUUAUGGACUCGUUUGCAUUAGUGCUAGGGCUUUGGUUUGCAUUAGUACUAGGGCUUUAGUGGUGGUGGUGGAGAUUUGUAGUAGUACUAAUGUAGAGAAUUCUCUUGAGGUGGUGGUGGAAAUUCAUGGACUCAUUUGCAUUAGUGCUAGGGCUUUGGUUUGCAUUAGUACUAAGGCUUUAGUGGUGGUGGUGGUGGUGGUGGUGGAGGAGAUUUGUAGUAGUACUAAUAUGGAGAAUUCUCUUGAAAUGGUGGUGGAAAUUCAUGGACUCGUUUGCAUUAGUGCUAGGGCUUUGGUUUGCAUUUAUACUAAGGCUUUAGUGGUGGUGGUGGUGGAGAUUUAUAGUAGUACUAAUGUGUAGAAUUCUCUUGAGGUGGUGGUGGAAAUUUAUGGACUCGUUUGCAUUAGUGCUAGGGCUUUGGUUUGCAUUAGUACUAGGGCUUNNNNNNNNNNNNNNNNNNNNNNNNNNNNNNNNNNNNNNNNNNNNNNNNNNNNNNNNNNNNNNNNNNNNNNNNNNNNAGUAGUACUAAUGUGGAGAAUUCUCUUGAGGUGGUGGUGGAGAUUCGUGGAAUCAUUUGCAUUAGUAUUGGGGUUUUGAUGGUGGUGGUGGAGACUUGAAAUAUUACUCAUAUUGAGGUGGAGAAUAGUUUAGUGGUGGUGGUGGAAAUUUAUUGCAGUAGUGUUAAGAUGUAGAUGGAGACAUAUUAUCCAAAAAGACCAACACAACCAAACACAAGAAAAGGAGAAACAGUGAAAUAUCUAAAAUGGAGGAUGCUUACUUGUGAUGUGCACCAAGUGUUAAGGUGGCGGAGACUUACCAGUGUCGAACGUAUUAUCCAAAACAGACCAACACAAACAAACACAAGAAAACGAGAAACAGUGAAAUAUCUAAAAUGGAGGAUACUUUCACAGUUCAGUGACUUGUGAGGUGCAAAAAGAGUAUAGAACAUACUUUCUCUCUCUUGUUUUAUACUGUUAACGUUGUAGGCGAUGGCCAACUACUUUUUAUUUUUUAAAUGUUUCAUGUAUCCCUUAAAAACUGAGAAAUUAUUUAUCAUUAUUGUUCGUUUUCAAAGGGGUUUUGACAUCAACUUGUUGAAACUUUUCUCAGUCAUCCGGGAAUAUCAUAAAAAAUAAUACAGAGGACAACACGACUAUUGGCCGGCUUAUGGCGCUAAUGGGUAUUUUAUAUGAGAUGACAUUCUUUUUCAACCGGCUAAUGUAAUGGUUGGUUAUUGAAUGCUAACACUUUUAUCUCCUGUUUCUAGGAAGAUGCACGUUCAGUCAUGUCCAUUAAUUUUCUAAUACGUAUAGGAAUUAAACUUGCUAACGCAUUCGUCAAAAGCAUUCGUGCGUUGCGUUCACCAGGGAAGCUUGCAUAAAUUUGUGACGUGGGAGUGGUUGGUUAGCGGAUGUUAACACCGGUGAGGUGUGAUGUGACCGUUGCUCUACCCAGAAGCUAAAGAAGAAAGUUGUUUUUUUUCCAAUUUUUCUCUAUACCAAAGAGAAUUUUUUAUUCAACAUGCAGUCACAUUUGACUGCUGUACGGCCAAGGCGGNNNNNNNNNNNNNNNNNNNNNNNNNNNNNNNNNNNNNNNNNNNNNNNNNNNNNNNNNNNNNNNNNNNNNNNNNNNNNNNNNNNNNNNNNNNNNNNNNNNNNNNNNNNNNNNNNNNNNNNNNNNNNNNNNNNNNNNNNNNNNNNNNNNNNNNNNNNNNNNNNNNNNNNNNNNNNNNNNNNNNNNNNNNNNNNNNNNNNNNNNNNNNNNNNNNNNNNNNNNNNNNNNNNNNNNNNNNNNNNNNNNNNNNNNNNNNNNNNNNNNNNNNNNNNNNNNNNNNNNNNNNNNNNNNNNNNNNNNNNNNNNNNNNNNNNNNNNNNNNNNNNNNNNNNNNNNNNNNNNNNNNNNNNNNNNNNNNNNNNNNNNNNNNNNNNNNNNNNNNNNNNNNNNNNNNNNNNNNNNNNNNNNNNNNNNNNNNNNNNNNNNNNNNNNNNNNNNNNNNNNNNNNNNNNNNNNNNNNNNNNNNNNNNNNNNNNNNNNNNNNNNNNNNNNNNNNNNNNNNNNNNNNNNNNNNNNNNNNNNNNNNNNNNNNNNNNNNNNNNNNNNNNNNNNNNNNNNNNNNNNNNNNNNNNNNNNNNNNNNNNNNNNNNNNNNNNNNNNNNNNNNNNNNNNNNNNNNNNNNNGUACAGCAGAAUUAGCGUCUUGUCUGCUGUUUGACUUUUUAUGGCCACAUGAAUUAACUUACAGUCAUAACAAAUUACUUUUCGUGGCCGAUAUCCAGGAGUUAAGAUUGUUAUCUAUUUUAAUGGUGUCCUUUAUAUAUCGAUUAGUUUAUAAACCAACUGCUUACCAAACUUUGUAUUAUUAUUCUUUUAACAAAUUUUUUGUUGCUGAUCAUAUCUACUUCAUGAAUAAUGAUAUUUUAUACAAAUGCAAUAUCAAUAGAUUGGCAUGUAAUAAUGACCACAUCGUUCAACAUUAAUUCAAAGUGAGGAUGUGCUCGGAAAUUGAUUAUUAAGAUUGUGUUCCUUUCUUUCUUUUUUUUUUGUGGGUUUUUUUUGGUUUUAAUAGAAAGCAGCAAUCACAAAAGUUUGAGGCCAAUCCACAUAUAUAUAUGAUUAAUGCAAGAAAUGUUUUGUUUAUACUGUUUAGAGUGCAAAAAAGUCUAAUAAUUAUAAGGGUACUGAAAGUGAAGAAAUCAUGUGUUUAGGGGAGAAUAAAAUGUUACAAUUAAUAUGAAAAACUACAUAAUUAGGAGAUUAAGAGUAACGACAUAUAUCACUGUGUAUUGUAGGCAUCCCAAAGUAAUAAAGAAUAAAGAAAGAGAAAAUUAAAGUUUGUGCGGUUAACGCACAUGCAUAAAAUAUAUCCUCAUAAACCAACAUUUAAAGUAAUAGAAACUUAUAUCCUCAUAAACCAACAUUUAAAUUUUAAAGUAAUAGAAACUAAAAGUCUAAAACGAAUGCUAUCAUACAACCUAUGCUAUUCCAUUUCCCUAUCCUCUGGUGACUGACCAAAUAAUAGGGUGAAUAGUGAUUGAAGAUAAAUGAAAGAAUCCGAUCAUUCAACCAUCAAAAGCUUAUCUCCACGUGUCCACUUCUUGGUAUAGGCCAUAAGGUGGCAUCUAUUUUUGAAGGGUGUACGACUAGGGGUGGGUAAAAUUGGGUUCGGAUCAACCCCAUCGGGUUUUGGAUUGGAUGAAAAUUCAUCCGAAUUCAACCCGAACUUAAAAUCCGACCCGAUCCGAUCCGAAUUAUAUUCGGAUCGGAUCGUGUUAUAAAUUCGGGUUAAGUUCGGAUCGGAUCGGAUGCGGUUUGGGUUAUAUUUGAAUCAAUUUAGGCCUAUUCGGGUCGGGUACAAUUCGAAAAUACAUAAUUACCUAUUAUUAACAAACACCAAAUACCAAUUAAACAUUAAUCUUUCACACAUUACAUAUAAUAUACAUCUAUAGCAUCACUGUCAGAGGCUCAAAGCUUCCAAAGCCCAAAGUCAACAGCCAAAGUUCGGGUCGCAGCUUACCGGGUUUCGAAUGUGGACUUAUACGUUAAAAUUGUAUAACAUUAUCUUUUUUAAUUUUUUUUUAACAAAUAAUAGGGAUUACAUUUGCUAAUAACUAAACAAAGACAUUCUAACCAUUGAAAAUAGUUUUCCAUUAAAUCUUAUGGUGAGAGACAAAUUUCGAAAUACCUUACUCCGAGUGUAAAAUAAUCAAAUUUUUAUACGUAUUAAUUAUCCUUAUGCUUUUGAAAAAGUGUUGAUAAUGAAAUUCAAAAUUUUGGUAUAUUUUAUUUUAUUUAAGAAGAAGUAACAGAAAAUGAAUCUCCACAAACUAAAUAAAAAUACAGAUCAGAGUGCAGUUACCAAAAUAUUAGCUACUUACUAUAUGCUCUCAGUAGCCAAAUGAAGAUUGAGAUUCAUGCUUUGCGUAACUGUCAACCAAAAUUCAAAUGACUUUAGUUUUAAUAGAUACGUGGACCGCAAAAUUCAAAUGGCUAAUUGUUAUACACAAAUCACGCUUGACAAAGACAGGGCCAUAAAAUUACAAGAUACGUGGGCCGCAAGCUCCUGUAGCUGUAGAUUUUCAUCAUAUAACAGAUGUUAGCUACUGCCUACUGAUUGUUGCCUUGAUUCGCUUCGGCUUUGGACUUGGCUCGCUGCUUUGCGUAUAAGAAAAAAAAAAAAAAAUACAAUAUGCCAUUGGCGGGAUUUGGUCGGUCACCAACUUCUGCUGACGCUACUCUUUACUCACGUUCCAUUAAGUUGAAGAUUCUUUUCCCUCUUCAAAGUAAUCAACAAAACAAAACAAAAAAAAAAAAAAAAAUUAAGACAAAAAUCCGAAGAAUAUUUAGCGUAAGGCGAACGACAAAAUCGACUCAAGGCCCUGGUCCAGUUAAAUAUCAAUAUAUAUAAGGGGCAUUUCAUUGUUGGAUUGGGAACGAAUAGAUUUAAGAAAUGAGAGAGUUAAGGAUACCCACCACAAUGGUAUCUCUAAUUAUAGUCUCUCUGGGAUGUAAAAUAUAUAUAUUCUCACCAUCCCCAUAGUGUAUGAGACAAAUGUAUGCAUUUCGAUUAGGUUCGUAUUCUAUGGUUACGAUUCUACCAUAUAUGUCUUUUUCAUUCCAUCGAAAAUUGAUUUUACGGUAUAGACGCUUAUGAUCUCCCCCUUUAUGCCCUGCGGUAAUGAUUCCUCUAGCAUUACGACCUUUACCACAACGAUGUUGUCCAUAGAUCAAAUUAUUUCGUGGAUUGGAUUUCCCUUUAAGAUCAAACAAUUCCAUCGAAUUGAGUAUGAUUGUAUGUGUGAUAGCAUCUACUAUACUAAUAAUAUCAAUGAACCCGAUUAUUGCAAUUGCUCAGGACACCCUUUUUUAGCUUCUAGUUAGUUUAUAGAAUCGAUUUCUUAGUUCAAGAUCCCUUUUACUAACUGGAAUCAAAGAAUUAGUAGAUCUGUUCCGAACAAAAUGGGAAUGGGAUAGGGUUAUGAACUUAUAAUUUAUAAUCUGAUUAUCGAGUCGAUUCUAUGAUUAUAAUUUCAUUCCAUACCGGACCAGACCAGAAUAGGGUUAUAUACAUUCUCAUUAUGAGAAGGGGUCAUUCGAGCGUAUCUAAAUAGAUAUUAUGUUGACAUAUGGAUUCCUGCUUCGUUACAUUCCAUUCAGGAUUAGGAAUAGGUGUAAUCGGACCUGCUUUUUACAUAUCUCUCGUGGGACCCUAUUCACCUCUUUGGGCUUCUACUGAAUUGAGAAAAAGAUGGACAAUUGGAUCCCAUUUAAAAUAAUUGGAUCUUAUUUAUAGGAAUGUUGCAUGUUGUUACUCUAAGCUUAAUCAGGUACCGCUCUUUUUAGCAUUAAUAGAGUGACAUUGAAUAAUAUCAUGAAGACAAAUGCCUUUGAUUUUCCAAUUAUGUUAAUUGAAUAUAUGAAAUUUCAUGAUAUCUUGGAAACUCUGCCAGGUAAAAGCUGGGCUCUCAGCACUUGAAGAUGCAUUGCUGGCGGGAUACGAAGACUUUAAGGAAAAUCUAUGGAUCAUAGAACCGUUGCUUAGAAUUUAGUUGAGCCUUCAAAGUAUCUAAAAUUAUUGAAAUGGUUAACAGAGAGUCCGGACAGAUCCUGACUUAGAAAAUCUCAGAACUUCCGAGGAAUUUGAUGUUCUUCGAAAAAGGUUUGAUGAGUCAUUUAUCAAUGAGAACGCCAUCAAUGCCAUUAAGUCAUUGUUCGGGUUAUUAGACAAGAAAUAAAUCCUUGAAUUUACUCUAACUUACUCAAAGGACUAAAGUUGGUGAUUGCUCAAAGCUGCAAAAGGGAACGAAGGCUUAGUGUAGCUUUUAUGCUUUUGUUCACAGCAUUCAUUGUUUGAAGGUGAGAUUUGAACAAUUUUAUAAUGUUUCGGUGGAUAGUUCGUGUUUUUUUGGGCAAUUCUGGACAAGAAGAUUGCUAAGAACUUAAAAACAGAAAUACGAAUGCUUUCAUUUCUUCUCUGCAACAACAAUAUGUUUAGCUCCUUUCAAAUGUUCUUAAUGUUUCCACAGUUUGGCACUCGAAGCACCAUACAAGAUUUAAUGGAAUAACACAAUGGGCACUUCAUAAAAAACGAAAAAUGUUUAACGUCUCCUCUUAAAAUUUGAUCCAUAAUCAUGUUCCAUUGCCCAAAACCAGGAUUCACGCUUGCUUCUUGGCCAGUUCCAUGAUAUUUAAGCUGCAGCAUUACAGGAGGUAAAGUUAACCAUAAGGAGAUUGGAAAUACCAUAAUCCUGUUACAAAUACAACAAAAUGACACAUAAUUACCAUUGGAGCAGGUAGGAUUCGAGCAUCAACCGAUGCAAGACCAUCAGCCACUUGGAUUCCAAACUCUUUGUUCACAAGAGUAUCUUCAUUGUAAGCAUUUGUCCGAGCCAUCUGCAGAAGAAUGUCACACCCAGUAGCAAGAAUCAGAAACUCUCUUUAUUCACAAGAAGAUAAAUCCAAGAUUAAUCAUCCAAAAAGAUCCACCACAGACGUAAGAAAUUACAACAAUGCUCUACCAUCCGUAUAUUUGCUUCACGAUCGCGAGGACGCUGACAGGUUGCUCUUAAAAGAGCAGUUACUUGUCUUUCAUUUAAUCUUUUAGUAUAUCUCUGUCCCGCGGCAAUCCUAGAAAGCUGUAAAGGAAAAUAUUUUAUAAAUAAGUCUUAAAUAAAUUAUUUUCCAAACACAAAAUAUCAAAGUAAUCUUUUGAUCAUAGAACCUCCAUUGGCAAAUAAAUAGGCCUCGCUUCACUUCCAGCUAGAAGGGCAGGCAAUGACGUGAAUUGAAGCCCAAUAUUAUAUCUUUGACGAAAAUAUUGAACCACUGACAAUCUUGUUGCAUUGUCAUCAGUAAACCUAACAAAUACAAUCAAAGGGAAGAUAAGACAUGAAUGCCUGUUAUAACAUGGAGGGAUGGAUACAUCACUGUUACAGGCAAUAACAAGUCACCAUUGCACUACAUAGAAGCCAACUACUAUCACAAAUCAGAUUUGAGAAAUUGAUUUGACGCACAGCCGCUAAACAGUUUACCACCAAGUCAGUUCAUGAAUCGUACAUAAAAUACAACACAAAAGACAAAUUUAACCAUAUGUGGAUUUCAGAUGACGACAAAAGCAGGCAUCGUAAAGUAUGCUUCUGGAAUGGCGUGGGGGACUCAAGAAUCAGCUAACAUAAACAAAUCAACCAACAUAAACACAACCCAACCACCAAGUUAUGUUAUCACACACGUACAUUAGUUGGCUCAUCGGUUGACUGGAUAUUCCAGUGAUCUUGGUGCUUAUUUUGCAAUCCAAAUGCCUGAGCACUACCUUUAUUCCCUUCAAUGCCUUUUUCACCUAGAAGUCAAGAAUUAAACAAUUAUAUUAAUAUCAUUGAGCACGUGUCUCUAUCCAAUUCCCAGCAAUAAUUGUGAAAAUAAUUAAAGGGCAGUUGUCAAAUAGCGGCCAAAAUGGAUUGACACUAAAAUUUUUACAGAUAGUUCAAAAGAUUGCUAAUAUACGUAACGGAAUGAUAAUAAGUUGAUUAAGAUAACUGUACAAUUGCAAAUGAAUGCGUGGAAGAUUUUUAAAACCGCCAUUUCAAGAUCUCAUUUCUUUAUCAUCAGAAUUAUAGGCUAAAUUAUACAUCAGCUUCCUACAUUGAUCAUCAAACCCUGUCAUCAACAUUCUAUUCCCCUUAGACUUGGUAGCUCAUUCUAUUUAGAUUUCAAUGGCCAAGAACAACAGACACUACUCAUUACCCACCAGUUCAGCCACAAAUGAAGAAAUUACCCUAUCCAAAAUUUGCAAGAAAUUUGAAAUUUUAAACUACUAAAAACUUGCAAUAAAUUAUACACAGCAUCUAAAACAUUACUGAACUGUUUGCCUAACAAAUCAGUGAUCAUUCUUUGAAAAGGCUCUUAUCACAAAUAUAUUACAGUGCUGCAGCCCUCAAUUAAAACUUUUAACCGCCCAAUAGAUAGCUCAUUAAAUUGAUACUAAAUUAAUUAUAGCCAAGACAAAACCAAAGAAGACUAGACAAUACCUUCAGACGCACUUCAUCAGAAAGAGGAUGUGAUAAGUCUCUGCAAUACUUCUGAACAAACUGAGUAACCAGAAUUGGCUCAUAAAAGGAACAGGCUGAAACAUCUGCAACAGCAAGAGCAAAUAUUUAUAUAGCAGUGCUGCACCCAAAACAAAAUCAAGCUUGCAUAAUAUAGAAGAUAAGCAGCAUCAAAUUAUAUAAAAUAUAAAGAGAAAUACCAAUAUUAAGAGAUAGCCCCAUCUGGGUUGGGCGAAGACUCUGAAAAUAUCCACGCCAAUAUUCAACGCCAUCACCAAGCUGACCCAUUGGUCCAAGAUCAGUUGAGAAAAAUGACCUCUCCACAACUGUAUGCCUGAUGCAGAAGUUCAUCAUUUCAUUAAUUAACUAUUCUAAAACCCAAAUUGUUCAAGACACAAAAUAGACAAUAAUAAAAUUUUUACUCAGAAAUCAAAUGUUAAAUCAGUUGCAUGAACAAGCAAAUGCUGGCAUGGGCAGGGAACAUCCUAUAUCAUACACACCAAAAAGUGAAACUUUAUUAACACAGUUAAGGUUAAAUACUUCUCUGAUGGAGCUGCUCUGAGAACAACAUCAAGCACUUGUAUAACUUCGUACGGUGCUUCAAAAUGCCUACGGAGUAAGAACUGCUGUAGAGUGUAAAGAUCAGGCUUCGACGCCAAUCUGAUAACCACCCUAAACUGACGCUCCCUUCUGCAUAAGAAAUCACUCAACACAUUAAAUCAAGAAAACUCACAAUCAACAAUAUUCAAGAAACACACUCGUUAAAAGCAUGAGAUACCUCGGCCUGGUAGAUGAGCUGGGACGAGGAUCGCUAUCAGGUAACGUGAUAAUGAAUUCCUUCGAUUCAAAAGGCAGCGGUCCUGCAGUGUAAAUGCUCUUCAUACCAUCAUAGGCAGGUAUUCGUCCACCCAAGUCAGUUAGCCGAUAUAAAUUAAUCAGCUGAGAAAUAAUUUGUCUGUUGAUUUUUUUUGACGUCACCCAGGGAGUAAUUGAAACCUUAAAAAAUAAAUAAAUAAAUAAGCUAAAGAAUAAACAUAUUUUUAAAAUAUCAACAAAACCCCGACACCUUCGAAUUCGACGC